AUUGAACGCUGGCGGCAGGCCUAACACAUGCAAGUCGAGCGGAUGAAGGGAGCUUGCUCCUGGAUUCAGCGGCGGACGGGUGAGUAAUGCCUAGGAAUCUGCCUGGUAGUGGGGGAUAACGUCCGGAAACGGGCGCUAAUACCGCAUACGUCCUGAGGGAGAAAGUGGGGGAUCUUCGGACCUCACGCUAUCAGAUGAGCCUAGGUCGGAUUAGCUAGUUGGUGGGGUAAAGGCCUACCAAGGCGACGAUCCGUAACUGGUCUGAGAGGAUGAUCAGUCACACUGGAACUGAGACACGGUCCAGACUCCUACGGGAGGCAGCAGUGGGGAAUAUUGGACGAUGGGCGAAAGCCUGAUCCAGCCAUGCCGCGUGUGUGAAGAAGGUCUUCGGAUUGUAAAGCACUUUAAGUUGGGAGGAAGGGCAGUAAGCUAAUACCUUGCUGUUUUGACGUUACCAACAGAAUAAGCACCGGCUAACUUCGUG
rnacentral:rRNA from 1 species